AUCCAGAUGACCAGUCCCAAAUAGGACGAAAUGAGCAUCCUGGAU
rnacentral:hammerhead_ribozyme from 1 species